rnacentral:rRNA from 1 species
GACGGAGGGUGCGAACGUUGUUCGGAAUCACUGGGCAUAAAGCGCGCGUAGGCGGUCCACUAAGUCAGUUGUGAAAUCCCUCGGCUCAACCGAGGAACUGCAACUGAUACUGGUGGACUUGAGGAUGGUAGGGGUGAGCGGAACUCCAGGUGGAGCGGUGAAAUGCGUAGAUAUCUGGAGGAACACCGGUGGCGAAAGCG